rnacentral:rRNA from 1 species
UACGUAGGGGGCUAGCGUUGUCCGGAAUCAUUGGGCGUAAAGAGCGUGUAGGCGGUCCGGUAAGUCCGCUGUGAAAGUCGGGGGCUCAACCCUCGAAUGCCGGUGGAUACUGUCGGGCUAGAGUGCGGAAGAGGCGAGUGGAAUUCCCGGUGUAGCGGUGAAAUGCGUAGAUAUUGGGAAGAACACCGGUGGCGAAAGCGCCUUGCUGGGUCUGCACUGACACUGAGGGACGAAAGCUAGGGGAGCGAAAGGG